rnacentral:rRNA from 1 species
UACGUAGGGGGCAAGCGUUGUCCGGAAUUAUUGGGCGUAAAGCGUCCGCAGGUGGCUGUGUAAGUCUGCUGUCAAAGAGCGAAGCUCAACUUCGUAAAGGCAGUGGAAACUACACGGCUAGAGUGCGUUCGGGGCAGAGGGAAUUCCUGGUGUAGCGGUGAAAUGCGUAGAGAUCAGGAAGAACACCGGUGGCGAAGGCGCUCUGCUAGGCCGCAACUGACACUGAGGGACGAAAGCUAGGGGAGCGAAUGGG